rnacentral:rRNA from 1 species
GAAUAUUGGACAAUGGGGGCAACCCUGAUCCAGCCAUGCCGCGGGUGGGAAGAAGGCCGUUUGGUGGUAAAGCACUUUAAGCAGUGAAGAAGACUCCAUGGUUAAUACCCAUGGACGGGGACAUUAGCUGCAGAAGAAGAACCGGCUAACACUGUCCCAGCGGCCGCGGUAAUACAGAGGGUGCAAGCGUUAAUCGGAAUUACUGGGCGUAAAGCGUGCGUAGGUGGCUUGAUAAGUCAGAUGUGAAAUCCCCGGGCUUAACCUGGGAACUGCAUCUGAUACUGUUAGGCUAGAAUAGGUGAGAGGAAGGUAGAAUUCCAGGUGUAGCGGUGAAAUGCGUAGAGAUCUGGAGGAAUACCGAUGGCGAAGGCAGCCUUCUGGCAUCAUAUUGACACUGAGGUUCGAAAGCGUGGGUAGCAAAC